GCCCUGGUGUAACGGCAACACGCGCCGCCUAAUAUUUACAUCACAAAUGAGAUGCGCGGUCGGCGGUUCGACUCCGCCCUAGGGCA